ACAGCAGUCGCCGCGGUAAUACGGAGGGAGCUAGCGUUGUUCGGAAUUACUGGGCGUAAAGCGCGCGUAGGCGGUUACUCAAGUCAGAGGUGAAAGCCCGGGGCUCAACCCCGGAACUGCCUUUGAAACUAGGUAACUAGAAUCUUGGAGAGGUCAGUGGAAUUCCGAGUGUAGAGGUGAAAUUCGUAGAUAUUCGGAAGAACACCAGUGGCGAAGGCGGCUCACUGGACGACUGUUGACGCUGAGGUGCGAAAGCGUGGGGAGCAAACAGGAUUAGAUACCCCAGUAGUCCCUGUCUCUUAUAC
rnacentral:rRNA from 1 species